CACCUCACUUCCCUUCUCUGCCCCCUCACCCCCUAAUUAAUAAUGUCCUCUCUGGGGACCAAGUGAAGCAGAGCCACAUGUCUCUCUGAUUCAAUAAGUACAGACAUGUCCAGGCUAUGAAGACCUCUAGAUGUGUCUGUCUCAUGACUGCAGCUGGGGGAUGAGAAAACUUCAGAUGUGCUUGGUUGUAGCCUGAUGCUACAAGUGUUGGCACCAAAGGCAGGGCUUGGCCCUGUACCCACGUGGGUCAUGCAAGAUUAAGGAAGUGCCAGGAGAGGGAGGCUAACUAGAUGACCUCAAAGUACCCUUGUGGCCUGGCUGCAAGGCAGGAGAGUCCAGGGAGUGAUGCUGGCCAAGGAAAGCAGGUAUUGAAAUUUGAAAUGCAUGUGGAGUUUCCAAGUUGUGUGCUGAAGCCGUUAAAUACUUUGUGCUUUGGUGUGUUAUCAGUAAAAUGUUCCCAUUUCUAUUCUGGUUUUAGAAGGUCUCCGAAUUAGGGUCAAAAUGCUUUGGCAGUGGAUGGGGGGUGCUAAGGAUGUGACGCCGCUGGUAGAGUGCCUCCAGACAUAUACAAAGACUGGUGACUCAUCGCUAGUACUACAAAAACUAGGCCUGCUGGUGCACACCUAGCACUUAGAAUGUGGAGGUCAUUCAUGGUUACAUAAGUGAGUUCAAGGACAGCCUGGGAUAAAUGAGACCCUGUCUCAGUACAAAACAUAUAUAAGAAUGUGUGGGAAAACCAUCACAAGCCACUCACAAGGACCCAGAGAACCUAAUGUGGUUAACAGGCAGUGCCUUCUUUGCCACAGCCUGUUAGCCCCACCACAGUCAGAGGUCUCUGCUGUAGGAACCAGGGGCUUCCCUUUUGGCCUAGAAGCAGAACCAGAACCCCUUGACCCCUAAAAAAAAGGUUAGACUGACUGCUAGAGCAGGAGACCUCUGAGCAUGCUCAAGGAACAGGGCCUGGAGCCUCACCCAGCUUGUUGCCAGCUAGAACCUGCUUUCUGAGAUGUGGCCAUGUAAGUGUUGUGUAAACAGUUUAAGAGGAAAAGCAGCCAGCAACCUCACAGCUCAGUCCUUGUCCCUUCCCCUUUCAGCCCCAAGAAAUGACAAAUAGACCUCUAGGACUGUAUUCAUACUGUUAAUUGGAUUGGUUCCACCUGUAUUUCUCAAUAAUUUACCCUUGUUUUUUUGAGCCAAGACUCAGAAUAUAGCUCUCCAUUUGGUAGGAGAAGGUUAAAACAAUCUGUACAGGGUUCAGAGAAUGAUAGGUUCUUAUCAGAAAUCUCUCCCAUCCCCACCCCCAUGCCACACAGCCCAGCUGGCCUCAGAUUCAUGGCAAAGCCCAGGUUGCCUUUGAACUCCUGAUCCUCUCUUCUCCAUCUCCCAACUGCUGGGAUUAUGGAUAUGCACUACCAUGCCUGCUCAAGAGCACCGGCCUCUCAACACUCACCCCCACCCUGACAGUGUCCCCUCUUCAGCAAGCUGCACACUGCACUCAUCUUUGUUAAGCCAUGUCACCCAAAAUAUCAGAAGGAAAGACUGUCAGAGCAUUCAUG
rnacentral:lncRNA from 1 species